CCUGGUGGCUUAGAGGUUUAAGCGUCUGCCUCCAAUGCAGGAGACCUGGGUUUGAUCCCUGGGUCAGGA
rnacentral:tRNA from 1 species